GGUUGGGGGAAAUGGACAGCGAGCAGACAGGGUUUCUCCAGUCUGGAGAGUAGAAGCUGGCAUUAAACUAGAGUUACAGUUUGAGAUAACAUGCAACCAUUGCUUUGAUGUUAACUCACUUGUAUUUCUUUUGCCACUUUGAUUAAAUGCAUUUCUGAAUCAACAUCCUCAGUAAAAGUGAUUCAGUAGCGCAAAGGGAUAGAAUGGGAGCAACAAAGAGUCGGGAAGCCAAGCUAAGGAAUUCGAUUUGCUGACCCAUCUACACACAGACACACCUGCUAGACAGAGACCUCCUCAUCCUCUGAGACCCAUGCUAGGGCUGAAGCGAAGGGCUGAUUAGCAGUAGCUUCUUCAAGAUUUUGACAGGGAGGAUCAAGCAGCUAGGCUGAUACUCAGAAAACACGUUGGCGUUGAGUGGUAAGCAUAAAGUUUACAAGGAAGUGAGAAAGUUCCUGGUGACAGGACUUUUCAUCCAAGUUCUUGCCCCAAGUUGGGAAGAAACAGGAAGACAAGAAAGUGCCGAGGAUAGCUAGCUAUCUACCCCUCCUGGUAGAACCCUUGAAAGUACAAAAGAGGCAAAGGGAAUAAUUGGAGUUAGUACUGCCCUAUUCCACCCAGAGGAGGCUCCUCACAUGCUGGUGACCGGGCGAAAACAGCUAUAGAGGGAAAUCCUUUCAUAAGGAGAGAAGGGCAGGCUCUGAAUUGGGAUCUAUGCAAGCAUCAACCAAAAAGCCAGGCCAGUUUGAUACCAGCACUUCUUCUGGAGGAAGGAGGGAGGGGGACUGUAGUCCAAAGGGCAGAGACAAGCUGGAAAACUGUUUGCUGACAUAGGCAUUCAAGCGGGUCAGUUCUGGAUCUGGAAGAAAGAGAUAAGGUGUGUCAGAGGAAUUAGCUGUUUUUCUGACUCAACCCACAUUUCCAGGGCCCCACUUCUGCCCUUCAUUGAUAUGCCAAAAUGGCCCCAGACCAUUGGUCUGUCCUUGCCCCUCCUAAUUCACUCAUGUUGUUUAGAACAUUUGGAUAUUAAACAAGAAAAAGUCAAGAACUCACAAGGUCUACGGGAAGAAAAGGUGCUGAAGGAAACAAGAGAGAAAAAUUUCCACAGUCUAGAAAAAAGAACUUGGGAGUCGUUCCCCUUGACAAUUCAGGUAAAAAGAAGAAAAAGGGGUCAGUAUCAAAGGCCAAUCUAAUCAAUGGCUAGAGCUCACUCAAAUCGUGAGCAAGGAUCUCUUUGAAACACCCAUUUCUACACUUUUGAUGGCAUUGAUUGUUUUCUUUCCUCCUCAGCCUCAAUUUAAAAAACCAAACAAAAAGUUCCAAAACUUAUAAAAUAACUACAAUAUUGCAAGGGAAAAUAGCUUUGAAAUACUUCAGACCUCUGAUCAUUUCAGUGACCCAUAAGGAAGCCACAAAAACAAUGGUGAAACAUACUUCCCACCAAUUGGCAGAGAGGCACUGGAGUAGAGGUGCAGGGUAAGAUACAUUUUCUGAAAUGACCAAUGUAUGGAUCAGUUUUGCUUGACUAUACUUGCUACAAGGGAGGGUUUUUUUUUAAAUUUUAUGUUAGUGAGAGUCAUAGAAUAACGAAGUAAAUAGGAGUGUCAAAAAAUCAGAAAAGAAUAUUAAUGAAAUAUUUAUAAAACACACAAAUGAGAGCAAAAGGAAGUUCAGAAAGAGACAAAUAAGACAG
ensembl:lncRNA